AUACAGCUGAAGAGUCCCGAAUAGGGCGAAACUCACAUCCUGAAU
rfam:Schistosoma mattheei strain Denwood, Zambia genome assembly, scaffold: SMTD_scaffold0008085